rnacentral:rRNA from 1 species
AUUGAACGCUGGCGGCAGGCCUAACACAUGCGAGUCGAGCGGAUGAAGGGAGCUUGCUCCCUGAUUUAGCGGCGGACGGGUGAGUAAUGCCUAGGAAUCUGCCUGGUAGUGGGGGACAACGUUUCGAAAGGAACGCUAAUACCGCAUACGUCCUACGGGAGAAAGUGGGGGAUCUUCGGACCUCACGCUAUCAGAUGAGCCUAGGUCGGAUUAGCUAGUUGGUGAGGUAAAGGCUCACCAAGGCGACGAUCCGUAACUGGUCUGAGAGGAUGAUCAGUCACACUGGAACUGAGACACGGUCCAGACUCCUACGGGAGGCAGCAGUGGGGAAUAUUGGACAAUGGGCGAAAGCCUGAUCCAGCCAUGCCGCGUGUGUGAAGAAGGUCUUCGGAUUGUAAAGCACUUUAAGUUGGGAGGAAGGGCAGUAAGUUAAUACCUUGCUGUUUUGACGUUACCAACAGAAUAAGCACCGGCUAACUUCGUGCCAGCCGCCGCGGUAA